GAUGAACGCUGGCGGCGUGCCUAAUACAUGCAAGUCGAGCGAACAGAUGAGGAGCUUGCUCCUCUGACGUUAGCGGCGGACGGGUGAGUAACACGUGGAUAACCUACCUAUAAGACUGGGAUAACUUCGGGAAACCGGAGCUAAUACCGGAUAAUAUAUUGAACCGCAUGGUUCAAUAGUGAAAGACGGUUUUGCUGUCACUUAUAGAUGGAUCCGCGCCGCAUUAGCUAGUUGGUAAGGUAACGGCCUACCAAGGCAACGAUGCGUAGCCGACCUGAGAGGGUGAUCGGCCACACUGGAACUGAGACACGGUCCAGACUCCUACGGGAGGCAGCAGUGGGGAAUCUUCGGCAAUGGGCGAAAGCCUGACGGAGCAACGCCGCGUGAGUGAUGAAGGUCUUCGGAUCGUAAAACUCUUUUAUUAGGGAAGAACAAAUGUGUAAGUAACUAUGCACGUCUUGACGGUACCUAAUCAGAAAGCCACGGCUAACUACGUG
rnacentral:rRNA from 1 species